GAUGAACGCUAGCGGGAGGCCUAACACAUGCAAGCCGAGCGGUAUAGAGUAGCUUGCUACUCUAGAGAGCGGCGUACGGGUGCGGAACACGUGUGCAACCUGCCUUUAUCUGGGAGAUAGCCUUUCGAAAGGAAGAUUAAUAUCCCAUAAUAUUUGGAACGGCAUCGUUUUAAAUUGAAAGCUCCGGCGGAUAGAGAUGGGCACGCGCAAGAUUAGAUAGUUGGUGAGGUAACGGCUCACCAAGUCAGUGAUCUUUAGGGGGCCUGAGAGGGUGAUCCCCCACACUGGUACUGAGACACGGACCAGACUCCUACGGGAGGCAGCAGUGAGGAAUAUUGGACAAUGGGUGAAAGCCUGAUCCAGCCAUCCCGCGUGAAGGAUUAAGGACCUAUGGUUUGUAAACUUCUUUUGUACAGGGAUAAACCUCUCCACGUGUGGAGAGCUGAAGGUACUGUACGAAUAAGCACCGGCUAACUCCGUG
rnacentral:rRNA from 1 species